rnacentral:rRNA from 1 species
GAGUUUGAUCCUGGCUCAGGACGAACGCUGGCGGUGCGCCUCAUACAUGCAAGUCGAGCGAAGAGGCCCUUCGGGGUACUUCAGCGGCGGACGGGUGAGUAACGCGUAGAUCACGUGCCCUUUACUGGGGGAUAACAGCGGGAAACCGCUGCUAAUACCGCAUAAGUGCUUCGGCAUUAAAGCUCCGGCGGUAAAGGAUCGGUCUGCGUCAGAUUAGCUAGUUGGUAGGGUAAAGGCCUACCAAGGCGACGAUCUGUAGUUGGUCUGAGAGGAUGACCAGCCACAGUGGGACUGAGACACGGCCCACACUCCUACGGGAGGCAGCAGUAGGGAAUCUUGCGCAAUGGGCGAAAGCCUGACGCAGCGACACCGCGUGGAGGAAGACGGAUCUAGGUCUGUAAACUCCUUUCGACAGGGAAGAAUUUUGACGGUACCUGUAGAAGAAGCACCGGCUAACUACGUGCCAGCAGCCGCGGUAAGACGUAGGGUGCAAGCGUUGUCCGGAAUUAUUGGGCGUAAAGCGUCCGUAGGCGGCGAAUUAAGUCAGAUGUUAAAUACCAGAGCUCAACUCUGGCUUGGCAUUUGAUACUGAUUUGCUAGAGUA